GAAGGGCGCGGGGUCCUACCCCGUGUUCCGGGGAGGUUAGUGUCCAGCAUCCUGUGACGUCAUGGCAGGAAGUGCACAGGGUCCUGCCCCUUAUGCAGGGAGCGUGGUGUCCGGGGUCCUGUGAUGUCACGCAGGAAGGUUUGGGAGCUGCCUCAUUGUACCAUUAAGUUCUGAUCGCCAGGCAGCAUCUACCGGCUCCUCGUGGGCGUCUGAGAGGAGAAGUCAGUGGAAGUUUCCAAGGUGAAGCAUCCUCAAGAAGGGAGGCUAUUAAGAAUUUCUGAAACAGCUUUGCUCUCCUUUGACUGAAAUCAGUGUAUGUUUUGAGGGUUAAGCAACAAGAUUGAUGCCUCCUUUCAAAGGGCCAGGUGUCCUUACUGAGCUGUCCUCUGGAGCACCUGACGGAUGCAAGCCUCUGGGGUUGGGUCCGUUCUGGAGCCUCUGAGAGCUGCUCGUUCUAAAGCUGCUGCAGCUCAUAGUACAAGGCAGGUUCUCGCUGUUUACUGUCUUUGUGCGGUCAGGUCGGAGUCCAAACUUUGAUGGCUUUAGUAGCCAGCAGCUUUCCAGGGUGGGCAUGAAGAGACUGUAGACAGCCUUCGGGCUUUAUCUGAGAGCUAUUUACUUACUUGUCGCAGGAAACGUGUGUGUUUUCUGUGGAGAGAGCAGAGAGCUGCCUGCGUGGAUGCAUCAUCUAUCAGCCAGCAACUGGAAUGUGCUACAGAGCAAGGCCCCCAGGGCUGCCGAUUCCACCUCACUGUUUCACGACAGAUAGCACUAACCUCUCUUUACCUGGAACGACUAACCCACAUGUGGAGAACAGUAUGAUGGCUGACUCAAUAGAGGAAAUGGAAACAGACUGUCAGAAGAGGAAACUGACGUGUUUCCAAGUGUGAAUCCCUGGGCACAGGGAAGGGGACAGGCAUUUGCCUCCUUGAAAGGAGUCGUUUGAGUUUAAGAGAAGGGGAGCGUGUCCGGCUGGGUGUUGUUGACAUCUGAUGGCUGAUGUUUGAAGCGACGGCUGGUAAGUCUGUUUAUACUCACGUUAUAUUCGUAGAGACGGGCCCCUAGGAGCACACGCUGAUCCGCAGACGUGUCCUGUCUGUGCGUUGCACACACCAGCCACAGUGCUGUCAGGUGCCUGGGGCACGACCGUCCAGACUGGUGAGCAGCUCUUCACAAAGAUCUGAUCAAAUAAAUGGACAAAGCGAAGGGCCCGCCCUGCCCUGGGAGGCUUUGCACCCCCGCGCGAGAGCCCCAAUUCGUUGCUGCUACGGCGGGAGCUUCCCCGACACUGCUGCACAAUCCUGAGGUAUUUUGCAGCGGCUGUGGGUUUUUGAGCUAUUAUAACUAAUUUUUGAGGAAUAAUAUGUGAGACUUGGGUAACUCAACACGUUUUCUGGAUGUGAAGGGACAGGCUGAGGACACAGCAAGGCGACAAGUGCCCGGCAGUCCCACCACCCACGCUUGGGUCCAGACCAGCCACGCGGGUGCCUUCCAACACCGCCAGCAUCAUUUCCCAGCUGACGCCAAGUGGGGGUCCCGAGGGAGAGCCCCUAGCCACGCCUAUCAGCCCAGCACCAUGGAGGUGAUCGUACGCUGUUGUUUUCAGCCACGAAGUUCGGGCUUUGCUGGGCUGCACUGAUGUCUGGGUGUAAGAUCCGCGGCAUAAACAUUAUGGUCCACGUGAGGAAGGUGGUGUUUGCAGGGUCUCAUUUGCCAGAGUAGAGCUGAACCCUGCUCACACCAGAAGGGCUGCUAGAAACAUUCACAACUGCAUGCCAGCAUUGCAGCCAUACAGAACUAUGCACAACCACGUGCAUCCACAAUCACGUGACCAUCUGACCACCCACAGCCGUGCACGACCAUGUACAGCCAUCCAGAGCCUUGCACCAGCACUGCAGCCAUACACAACUGGCGGGGACUGAACACGGAUCUGGAUUGCACACUGCCUGGGAGCCAAGUGCAAGCACACCAUCACACGCGGAAAAGGGGAGGCAGCUGCGGACAGUGAUGUCUGUAACUGCGGAAGGUUGAAGUUCGACCCCUGUGUUGUUGGAACACAGAUCUGGGCUACUUUAUUGAUACUAGUUACCUGCUGUGCGUCUGAGCGCCUCCCGGCCUCCUUGCUGUGCUCUGAAAAUGCAGGUAUUGUGCGCCGGAAUUAUAAUCUCGCUGUGAUAAUACGCCUGUAUUGAUUCAACAAAAUGAGUUGUCUAUUUUGUUUUCACUUCGACAUCUUGAAGAAGGAAAGACUGACAAUCAGAAACAUAAAUAUUUUGGACUUCACAUCUUGUGGCAUGAAAAUUUCUUAAAAAGUGUAAUAAUUGCAAAAUAAAAUUUUACCGGGAAAUGCAAUGUGUUUGAACCCGGAGGAUGAACUUCUCACAAAAAGCACUUAUUCCAGAGCAGUGUUAACAUGUUACAACCGCCGGAGCACCUAAAAGGCAGAAAAUAGACAGCAUUAAAGGCACAACAAUCCAAAUAUAAAUAUGGAGACACUGCGGCCCGGAGCUGUGCGUGUCUUUACGUGUUACAAGAAAUAGAUAAAAGGUGGUAUCUUCACACUGUUCCACUCCGGAGAGGGUCUCUGGGCUCCGAGGGGCUCCUCCGACGUGCCUGUGCUGUUCCACUCACACCCCGGGGGGCUGGGUUAGGGUCUGACCCCACAGGUUCACACCAGUUUGAUGUUUCUGGCAUGUUC